rnacentral:rRNA from 1 species
UACGAAGGGGGCUAGCGUUGUUCGGAAUUACUGGGCGUAAAGGGCGCGUAGGCGGUGUGUCAAGUCAGGCGUGAAAGCCCCGGGCUCAACCGGGGAGGGUCGUUGGUGACUGUCGCGCUUGAAGGCAGCAGGGGUGAGUGGAAUUCCAGGUGUAGCGGUGAAAUGCGUAGAUAUCUGGAGGAAUACCGGUGGCGAAGGCGGCAUCCUGGACCGACAUUGACGCUGAACGGCGAAAGCUAGGGGAGCAAACGGG